rnacentral:rRNA from 1 species
GAUGAACGCUGGCGGCGUGCCUAAUACAUGCAAGUCGAGCGAACAGAUCAGGAGCUUGCUCCCCUGACUUCAUCGGCGGACGGGUGAGUAACAUGUGGUUAACCUACCUCUCAGACUGGGAUAACUUUGCGAAACCGGAGCUAAUACCGGAUAAUUUAUUGAACCGCAUUGUUCACUAGUUAAAGACGGUUUUUCUGUCACUUAUAGCUUGCUCCGCGCCGAAUUAGCUAGUUGGUAAGGUAACGGCUUACCAAGGCAACGAUGCGAAGCCGACCCGAGAGAGUGGACGGACAGACUGGAAGUGAGACACGGUACAGACUCCUACGGGAGGCAACAGUAGGGAAUCUUACGCGAGGGGGGAAAGCCUGACGGAGCAACGCCGCGGAAAGGAUGAAGGACUUAGGAUGGGAAAGCGAUGUUGGUAGGGAAGAAGAAAAGUGUAAGUAACUAGGAACGUAUUGACAGUACCGGAUCAAAAAGCCACGGCUAACUACGUG